UCCCUGGUGGUCCAGUGGGUGGGACUCCGCGCUCGCAUCGCGGGGGGCCCGGGUUCAACCCCUGGUUAGGGAA